rnacentral:rRNA from 1 species
GACGAACGCUGGCGGCGUGCUUAACACAUGCAAGUCGAACGGAAAGGCCCUUCGGGGUCCUCGAGUGGCGAACGGGUGAGUAACACGUGGGUGAUCUGCCCUGCACUUUGGGAUAAGCCUGGGAAACUGGGUCUAAUACCGAAUAUGAUCAUCGGCUUCAUGGUCGGUGGUGGAAAGCUUUUGCGGUGUGGGAUGGGCCCGCGGCCUAUCAGCUUGUUGGUGGGGUAAUGGCCUACCAAGGCGACGACGGGUAGCCGGCCUGAGAGGGUGACCGGCCACACUGGGACUGAGAUACGGCCCAGACUCCUACGGGAGGCAGCAGUGGGGAAUAUUGCACAAUGGGCGCAAGCCUGAUGCAGCGACGCCGCGUGAGGGAUGACGGCCUUCGGGUUGUAAACCUCUUUCAGCACAGACGAAGCGCAAGUGACGGUAGGUGCAGAAGAAGAACCGGCCAACUACGUG